UACGGGGGGGAGCAAGCGUUGUUCGGAUUUUACUGGGCGUAAAGGGCGCGUAGGCGGCCAGCACAAGUCAGUUGUGAAAUCUCCGGGCUUAACUCGGAAAGGUCAACUGAUACUGUGCGGCUAGAGUGCAGAAGGGGCAACUGGAAUUCUCGGUGUAGCGGUGAAAUGCGUAGAUAUCGAGAGGAACACCUGCGGCGAAGGCGGGUUGCUGGGCUGACACUGACGCUGAUGCGCGAAAGCCAGGGGAGCGAACGGG
rnacentral:rRNA from 1 species